UACAGAGGGUGCGAGCGUUGUCCGGAAUCACUGGGCGUAAAGGGCGCGUAGGUGGUGGCUUAAGCGUGCGGUGAAAGCUCGGAGCUCAACUCCGAGUCGGCCGUGCGAACUGGGCUCACUGGAGCAUAGUAGAGGCAGGUGGAAUUCCGGGUGUAGCGGUGGAAUGCGUAGAGAUCGUAAGGAAGACCAGUGGCGAAGGCGGGUCUCUGGACAGUUCCUGACACUGAGGCACGAAGGCCAGGGGAGCAAACGGG
rnacentral:rRNA from 1 species